rnacentral:sRNA from 1 species
CCAGGGCAUGGUGGUACAUGCCUGUAAUCCCAGCAACUAGGGAGGCUGAGGCAGGAGGAUCAUAAGUUUGAGGCUAGCCUCAGCAAUUUAGUGAGACUGUAAACAACUUAGUGAGACCCUGUCUCAA